rnacentral:rRNA from 1 species
CCCUUAGAUGUUCUGGGCCGCACGCGUGCUACACUGAGUGGAUCAGCGGGUCAGGUUGCGCGAAAGUGUUUCCUAAUCUUUAAAUCCGCUCGUGAUGGGGAUUGACGGUUGCAAUUUUCCGUCACGAACGAGGAAUACCUUGUAAGCGCGGGUCAUCAUCCCGCGCUGAAUACGUCCCUGCCCUUUGUACACACCGCCCGUCGCUCCUACCGAUUGAGUGGUCCGGUGAGGCUUUGGGAUCUGAGCGGAAAGAGCGUUUCGCUGUUUCUGCCCGGAAAACUCAGUCGAACCUUAUCAUUUAGAGGAAGGAGAAGUCGUAACA